UACGGAGGAUGCAAGCGUUAUCCGGAAUGAUUGGGCGUAAAGCGUCCGCAGGUGGCUGUGUAAGUCUGCUGUCAAAGAGCGAAGCUCAACUUCGUAAAGGCAGUGGAAACUACACGGCUAGGGUGCGUUCGGGGCAGAGGGAAUUCCUGGUGUAGCGGUGAAAUGCGUAGAGAUCAGGAAGAACACCGGUGGCGAAGGCGCUCUGCUAGGCCGCAACUGACACUGAGGGACGAAAGCUAGGGGAGCGAAUGGG
rnacentral:rRNA from 1 species